rnacentral:tRNA from 1 species
GAGGAUAUAGCUCAGUGGUAGAGCACUUGCUUAGCAUGCAGGAGGUCCUGGGUUCAAUCCCCAGUACCUCCA